GCUGUUAAUUUUUUAUUAAAUAAAAAAAAAAUAGAUUUUUCUGAAAAGUUGGGUAAAAGAUUUUAGAUGUAAAGGUUAAAUUUUAUUUUGUUUUUAGUAUUAAAUUUUUUAGAGAGAUGAUAAAAUUUUUAUUUUUACGAAAUAAAAAGAUUUAUUUAUUUAGUUGUUUUAUUUAAUAAGAGAAAAAUUUUAAAUAAGAAAUAAAUGGUAAAGAUAUUUUAAUCGGGUUUUAUUAUAAUUUGUUUAAUGUAAAAAUUUUUAAAUAGUUUAUAUUUUAAAAAAAGAUUUAUAGUAAAGAAGAUAAUUUUUUAUUAGGAAGAUUAUUUUAUAAAAUUUAAAAUUUUAAAUUAUAGAAUAGAAGUUUCUUAAAUAGUUAUGGUUUUAAUAAAAAAUUAAAAAUUAAUGGUAUCAAUAUAAUAUAACAAAUAGGGGGAUUAAGCUUGUAAAAAUUAAAAAAUAAGAUAAUAAUUAAAAAAUAAGUAUAAUAAGGAUAAUAAAAAUUAAAAAAGAGUUUAAAAAAUGGUUUUUUAUUUGAUUUUAAAAUAAAAAUUUUAACAAAAUAUUAUCUUAUAUAGGGCUAUAGAAAUUAUAAGUUAUGUCUGCUCUAUGAAUUUUUUAUAAAAAAUUUUAAAUGGCUACCUUAGCGUGAGGGUAUAAAAGUAGCGUAGUAGUUUGUCUUUUAAUUGAAGUCUAGAAUGAAUGGAGUUAAUAAAUUUUUUAAUAGAUUAAUAAUCUUUUUUUUCUUAAAAAUUUUGUGUUUAGUGAAAAUUCUAAAUAUUUAAAAAGGGAGAAUAAGACCCCAAAAACUUUUUUAGUUUGGUUGGGGCAAUUUUUUAUAUUAAAUUUAUAUAUUUAGUUUAACCAUUAUAAUCAGUAAGUAAGGAUUUUUAAUUAAGUUACUUUGGGGAUAAUUGGGUAAUUAAAGUUUAUAGUUCAUAUUAUUAUUUUAGUUUACUACCUCGAUGUUGAUUUAUUUGGAAUUUUGUUGGAGAAAAAAAAAAGAAAUGGUUUGUUCACCCAAUAAUAUUUUUCAUGAGUUGAGUUCAAGUCGACGUAAGUCAGACUGGUUUAUAUCUUUUUAAAAAAAUAAUUUGUACGAAAGGACUUUUAUU
rnacentral:rRNA from 1 species